GAUGAAGAACGUAGCGAAAUGCGAUAAGUAAUGUGAAUUGCAGAAUUCAGUGAAUCAUCGAGUCUUUGAACGCACAUUGCGCCCCCUGGUAUUUCGGGGGGCAUGCCUGUCCGAGCGUCAUUGCUGCCCUCAAGCACGGCUUGUGUGUUGGGCCUCCGUCCUCCUCCCGGGGGACGGGCCCGAAAGGCAGCGGCGGCACCGCGUCCGGUCCUCGAGCGUAUGGGGCUUCGUCACCCGCUCUUGUAGGCCCGGCCGGCGCUUGCCGACACAUCAAUCUUUUUUCCAGGUUGACCUCGGAUCAGGUAGGGAUACCCGCUGAACUUAAGCAUAUCAAUAAGCGGAGGA
rnacentral:misc_RNA from 1 species